GUUGCCGGUCGCCAUUUUGGGAUGCAUAGAAGAACAUGUGGAUUGAGCUAUCAGUAGUCAAGCUUGUGAAAGCCAUCAGAAAAGGAUGUCUUCGCCUUCUCCUUUGGUUGGCAGUCGAAGUACACCAUUAUUUCAGAUUCCGGGAGAUUCUCCAACAGAAACCUCUAAAGUAGAUCUAGACUAUAGGAAUUGAGGUUUUCUCCAGAGCCAAUGGAGGC